rnacentral:rRNA from 1 species
AGAGUUUGAUCCUGGCUCAGGAUGAACGCUGACAGAAUGCUUAACACAUGCAAGUCUACUUGAUCCUUCGGGUGAUGGUGGCGGACGGGUGAGUAACGCGUAAAGAACUUGCCCUGCAGUCUGGGACAACAUUUGGAAACGAAUGCUAAUACCGGAUAUUAUGUGAGUUUCGCAUGAAAUUCAUAUGAAAGCUAUAUGCGCUGCAGGAGAGCUUUGCGUCCUAUUAGCUAGUUGGUGAGGUAACGGCUCACCAAGGCGAUGAUAGGUAGCCGGCCUGAGAGGGUGAACGGCCACAAGGGGACUGAGACACGGCCCUUACUCCUACGGGAGGCAGCAGUGGGGAAUAUUGGACAAUGGACCAAAAGUCUGAUCCAGCAAUUCUGUGUGCACGAUGAAGUUUUUCGGAAUGUAAAGUGCUUUCAGUUGGGACGAAGUAAGUGACGGUACCAACAGAAGAAGCGACGGCUAAAUACGUGCCAGCAGCCGCGGUAAUACGUAUGUCGCAAGCGUUAUCCGGAUUUAUUGGGCGUAAAGCGCGUCUAGGCGGUUUGGUAAGUCUGAUGUGAAAAUGCGGGGCUCAACUCCGUAUUGCGUUGGAAACUGUCAAACUAGAGUACUGGAGAGGUGGGCGGAACUACAAGUGUAGAGGUGAAAUUCGUAGAUAUUUGUAGGAAUGCCGAUGGGGAAGCCAGCCCACUGGACAGAUACUGACGCUAAAGCGCGAAAGCGUGGGUAGCAAACAGGAUUAGAUACCCUGGUAGUCCACGCCGUAAACGAUGAUUACUAGGUGUUGGUGGGUAUGACCCAUCGGUGCCGCAGCAAACGCAAUAAGUAAUCCACCUGGGGAGUACGUUCGCAAGAAUGAAACUCAAAGGAAUUGACGGGGACCCGCACAAGCGGUGGAGCAUGUGGUUUAAUUCGACGCAACGCGAGGAACCUUACCAGCGUUUGACAUCCUAAGAAAUUAGCAGAGAUGCUUUUGUGCCCCUUCGGGGGAACUUAGUGACAGGUGGUGCAUGGCUGUCGUCAGCUCGUGUCGUGAGAUGUUGGGUUAAGUCCCGCAACG